UACGUAGGGUGCAAGCGUUAAUCGGAAUACUGGGCGUAAAGCGUGCGCAGGCGGUGAUGUAAGACAGAUGUGAAAUCCCCGGGCUCAACCUGGGAACUGCAUUUGUGACUGCAUCGCUGGAGUGCGGCAGAGGGGGGGAUGGAAUUCCGCGUGUAGCAGUGAAAUGCGUAGAUAUGCGGAGGAACACCGAUGGCGAAGGCAAUCCCCUGGGCCUGCACUGACGCUCAUGCACGAAAGCGUGGGAGC
rnacentral:rRNA from 1 species